rnacentral:misc_RNA from 1 species
UUGCUCCCGAACCGAUGGGCAACCGGCCGGCGCCCCGUUCCGAAGGCGCUCCGCGUCCGCCAGUACCGCCGGCGCCUCCGCCGCCGCCCACUCCGAAGGCUGCGUUCGAGAAUCUCGAAGACGAGAUGGCCAAUCUCCUCGGCCGUCCAAAGCCUCCCGCGUGAGAUCCUCGACAUCACCGCGUAGAGUUUUAUUUUUUGCCAGUCUUGUCGCCGCCGCCGGGUUCCUGAUCGAACCCGCGAG